rnacentral:snRNA from 1 species
UUGCUCACUUUGGAAGCACAUAUACUAAAAUUGGAACAAUAUAGAGAUUAGCAUGGCCCCUGAACAAGGAUGACACGCAAAUUCAUGAAGCGUUCCAUAUUAAA